AUGUUCUCUGUAGCUCUGCUGCUGCUGCUGGCUGCUGCAUCCUUUGUGAACUGUGAACAACUGAAUCAGCCAGCUUCUGUGACUCUGCAGCCAGGUCAACGUCUGACCAUCAGCUGCCAGGUCUCUUAUUCUCUUGGCAGCUAUCUAACAGCUUGGAUCAGACAGCCUGCAGGGAAAGGACUGGAGUGGAUCGGUAGAGCAGGAGAUGGAUGGACUACGUACUAUAAAGAUUCACUUCGGAACAAGUUCAGUAUCAGUUUUGUCUCGUCCAGUAAAACAGUGACUCUUAAUGGACAGAAUAUGCAGCCUGAAGACUCUGCUGUGUAUUACUGUGCCAGACAGACACAGUGA